UACAGAGGGUGCGAGCGUUAAUCGGAAUUACUGGGCGUAAAGCGUGCGUAGACGGUUAUGUAAGUCAGGUGUGAAAGCCCCGGGCUCAACCUGGGAAUUGCAUUUGAGACUGCAUAGCUAGGGUGCGGAAGAGGGAAGCGGAAUUUCCGGUGUAGCGGUGAAAUGCGUAGAUAUCGGAAGGAACAUCAGUGGCGAAAGCGGCUUCCUGGUCCAGCACUGACGUUCAGGCACGAAAGCGUGGGGAGCAAACAGG
rnacentral:rRNA from 1 species